CCUACGGGAGGCAGCAGUGAGGAAUAUUGGACAAUGGGCGAGAGCCUGAUCCAGCCAUGCCGCGUGCAGGAAGACUGCCCUAUGGGUUGUAAACUGCUUUUAUACGGGAAGAAACCCACCUACGUGUAGGUGGCUGACGGUACCGUAAGAAUAAGGAUCGGCUAACUCCGUGCCAGCAGCCGCGGUAAUACGGAGGAUCCAAGCGUUAUCCGGAAUCAUUGGGUUUAAAGGGUCCGUAGGUGGAUAAUUAAGUCAGAGGUGAAAUCCUGCAGCUCAACUGUAGAAUUGCCUUUGAUACUGGUUAUCUUGAAUUAUUGUGAAGUGGUUAGAAUAUGUAGUGUAGCGGUGAAAUGCAUAGAUAUUACAUAGAAUACCAAUUGCGAAGGCAGAUCACUAACAAUAUAUUGACACUGAUGGACGAAAGCGUGGGGAGCGAACAG
rnacentral:rRNA from 1 species